GUUUAUCAGAGAAGGAAGGUAACAGUGAGUCAUUUCUACUCCUGAUGAAACCAUAGUACCUGAGAGGACAAGGAGUGGGGGUUGUCACAGCAGGAGGCAGUGACCUGGCUUGCAAAGUUUCUUGCAGACUGAGAAAACAUACCCAUGGUUAACUUACCUCUGCUAAGACUUGCUGAAGGAUAUAUGGAGGACGGUGACUAGAAUAAUGUAUCCACACAGAGAAAGGUGCGUGGACACUGACACUGGAGGGCUGCUAAGUGCCCCUGCCAAUCUCCAUUGUCUUUAAUCUCUGCACUCACCACCCCAUCUGAUCAACAGAGGACUCUUCAGCAGUGAACCGCUGUAGACAACAGAUGGCAGAUAAUCACCCGAACAGCCUCCAGUUUUGUCAGGAAAGGAGAAGCGAUCAUCUUCCUCUCUCUUACAGUAGGCCACUACUUUGGGGGAUAGAGUGUGGAGUGAGGAAGAGUUUGUCACAGAAGUCUUUCCUGUUUGUCUCUCAACUGUGCAUCUGAAGUCAUCAUCCAUAUUGCUGCAAGAAGAGCUACCUUUCUUGCUCUUUACAUUCAACAGGAGCAUGGAUCAUGGGCUUCCAUCUGGAUUCUGUUGACUACACAGACCACUACCGCUGCCCCUAGCUGCCUCAGGACCACAGAUCCAGAUAAGGCAGCACAGACUGUGGACAUCAUCCUGGCCCCAGGUGGCUACACAGGCCACUCACAUCAGCUUGCCCCUCAGCAGCAGCACUGCUCAUGGCCAUCAUCAUGACUUCAGGCCACAGUGCAGACUAGGAGGAUCCGAAUGGCCUGAAGUUGUAACAAAGGCCCCAGACAUCAACCCAUACCCUAGAUAAAUCAGAACUAUUGACCCACACAUAGCCAUCAGUGGCAGCAUGGACCAAAGACAUCAUCAUGACCCUAUGUAGCUACAUUGGCCACUUACUUCAACAUGGCCCCUGCCCUGUAGUACAGCCCUCAGGUAUCAACUUUGCUUCAUGUGGCAGCACUGACCACUGAUAUCUGUAUGGCCUUGAUUGAUAACACAUGCUACAGAUGUCAACACAGCCACCUGGCUGUAUCAGGACCACCAACUCACUCAUGAUCCUCUCGGGCAGGAGGGACCACGGGCCUCAAUAUGCCCUCAGGUAGCUACACAGGCCAUUCACAUCAAUAUGGCCUAACAAAGCAGCAAGUCCCAAGGACAUCAAGAAGAAUUGAGCCAGUGACAGGCUGUGUACAUCCACAUGGAUAUUGGACUUCAUAGUAGCCUGGGACAGCAGCAUGGAUCAUAGACACCAACAUGGCCUCCAGUGACAUCAGGAGGAUCAUGAGGAGGUCCAAUCCAGAGAGUGAACCAUUCCUCAUCUUGGGCCUCCUAAAGCUGGGGUGAUGCCACAGCUGUAUUCGGAGCUGAGUCUGCUUCUGUGUAAGCUCCACCCUGCUGACCUUACUGGGCAACUACUUGUUCCACUGACAACCUCAGCCCUCUCUCAUACCUGUUACCGCUCCUUGAGUUCAAAUUGUACAUGUGCCAACAAAGAAGCUAAAGAUGUAUACUAGCCUUAACUGUAUACCAUUCAGGGUUCUGGCCAUUGGCUAGAUACUGCACAAUAAACUGCUCUCUGGGAAAAAAAAAAAGGCAGAAGGAGGAAGGAUUGGAAUGGAGAGGCCACGGGAAGAAACUGGGAGGAGCAGAGGAGUGGAAAUGGAAUCAGAAUAUAUUAUUUGAGGGAAAGAAAAACUUUUCUUAUUCUUGUUAAAAUGACACUAAACAAUAAAAGAAUAUAUUUUUUAGUUAUAUGAGCAGAAAAAAAGAGAUAUAUAAAGGGCUCACAUUCCUAUUAUACUGUUAACUAUGAGAUUAAUCUGUCAAUCUUGACACAUUUAUGUACAUUCUGAUUUAUGCGUUUGUUUACCUGAAGAGG